AAAAUUUUAAUUGCAUCAAAAAUUUCAGAAAUGGAAAAGUGGGUACGUUUCCUGGCUGCAUGUAAACUCUCUUUACACACAUAGUAUCCCCAAGAGAUUUUGAGAGCGCUGAUUGGCUUUCUCGGCAACGCCAUCUGUGACGUAUGGGUAUUUCAUUCUGCCGUGCUUGUUAUUUUCAGCAUAGAGCGAUUUCUAUACUCCAGCUUUUGUGUACAAACUUGAAAUGUGAGUUUUUUCAACAGAGAAACUGCCUUUUUCAUUUAAAAAUGAAGUAGAAUAUAUUUCCUCAAAUACCAUUACCCUUAAAAGCAAUGUUCUAAAUUUAGACGAUUGCAACAAGUGGGUAAUAGAAUUUGGGGAACUUACCAAUACGAAAUGGAAUUCUAGAACUUUCAAACCUCAUGGACAAAGAUUUGUUUGUAGUUGCAGGAAAUUAUUUGUUUGUCACCACUGUGCGUUUGUGAAAAUUCAGAAGGAGAAAUGUAAAAGAAGUUUUUAAAAAAAUUCUGAUUGUCAAGCCAGAAUAUCUGUAAAAGUGAAGUAGAACAGAAAAUCAACAAGGAAAUCAGAUUAUUGUACUUUAUUAACUUGUUAUAUGGUACUCGCUAGAAAAUGAAUUUUAUUAAUUAUAAAUAUUCUACAAUUUU